GAUGAACGCUGGCGGCGUGCCUAAUACAUGCAAGUCGAACGGAGAGCUAGCAAUAGUUCUUAGUGGCGAACGGGUGAGUAACGCGUUGGUGACCUGCCCCGAAGAUCGGGAUAACAGCUCGAAAGGGCUGCUAAUACCGGAUGAGCUCCUGGUGGUUAGAGGGCCAGGAGGAAAGGAGUAAUCCGCUUUGGGAGGGGCCUGCGUCCCAUCAGCUAGUUGGUAAGGUAACGGCUUACCAAGGCAGAGACGGGUAGGGGGCCUGAGAGGGUGAUCCCCCACACUGGCACUGAAACACGGGCCAGACACCUACGGGUGGCAGCAGUAGGGAAUAUUGCACAAUGGGCGAAAGCCUGAUGCAGCAACGCCGCGUGCGCGAUGAAGGCCUUCGGGUUGUAAAGCGCUUUUCGGGGAGAAGAGGAAGGACGGUAUCCCCGGAAUAAGGCUCGGCUAACUACGUGCCAGCAGCCGCGGUAAAACGUAGGAGCCAAGCGUUAUCCGAAUUCACUGGGCGUAAAGCGCGUGCAGGCGGCCUGGUAAGUUGGAUGUGAAAUCUCCUGGCUCAACUAGGAGAGGCCGUUCAAGACUGUCAGGCUCGAGGGCGACAGAGGGAGGUGGAAUUCCGGGUGUAGUGGUGAAAUGCGUAGAUAUCCGGAGGAACACCAGAGGCGAAGGCGACCUCCUGGGUCGCACCUGACGCUGAGAUGCGAAAGCUAGGGGAGCAAACGGGAUUAGAAACCCCGGUAGUCCUAGCCGUAAACGAUGUAGACUGGGUGUUGGCGGGGUAAAAGCCGUCGGCGCCGAAGCCAACGCGAUAAGUCUACCGCCUGGGGACUACGGCCGCAAGGUUAA
rnacentral:rRNA from 1 species